UCGGGAAUUUUGGGCAAUGGGCGAAAGCCUGACCCAGCAACGCCGCGUGAAGGGUGAAGUAUUUCGGUAUGUAAACUUCGUAAGAAUAGGAAGAAUAAAUGACGGUACUAUUUGUAAGGUCCGGCUAACUACGUGCCAGCAGCCGCGGUAAUACGUAGGGACCAAGCGUUGUUCGGAUUUACUGGGCGUAAAGGGCGCGUAGGCGGUUUGUCAAGUCAGUUGUGAAAUCUCCGAGCUUAACUCGGAACGGUCAACUGAUACUGUCAAACUAGAGUACAGAAGGGGCAAUCGGAAUUCUUGGUGUAGCGGUGAAAUGCGUAGAUAUCAAGAGGAACACCUGAGGCGAAGGCGGGUUGCUGGGCUGAUACUGACGCUGAAGCGCGAAAGCUAGGGUAGCAAACGGGAUUAGAUACCCCCGUAGUCCCUGAGCGGGCUGGCAAGGCGCAU
rnacentral:rRNA from 1 species